GGGAAAUCAGAGCGGCGCCAUCCCGGCGAAUACUCCGGCUCCCGGCCAAGUAGGCUGCCCGCGACAAAGGUUGCGAGGUUCGUUAGCAGCACUUGUCAACAAUGGAAAAUUUAUAAGAUUUUUGGAAAUUACUCACUGGGCAGUGCAGUACUGGCCCACCUAUAUCGAGAUCUGAAACUUGCAACGAAACCCAGGCGAGUUAAUAUGGCUGAGUUUCUUACUCUACUGCAGGUAUGGAGUGGGGAACAUUUGCAUGUAGGCCGACCGACACUUCAUGUGCCAUAUCCUCAAACUUUGGACGGAAAGAGUUAGGGUUCAGAUGGAAUGAGCUACAUGUUUGGGAAAUUUCUGCAUCGAUCAUAUGACUUUAUAGGCAUGAGAUUGACGAGUUGCUAGAAAGUCAGGUAACAUGGGAGCCCUACAUUGUAGAGAUAUUGGCACGUGUGGCUGAUAAAUGCAUGACAAGG